UGGUCAAGUUAUUAAGGGUGCAGGGCGGAUGCCUUGGCACUAGGAGCCGAUGAAGGACGUGAUAAGCUGCGAUAAGCUUCGGGGAGUUGCACGUAAACUUUGAUCCGAAGAUUUCCGAAUGAGGAAACUCACUUAGAGUAAUGUCUAAGUAUCAUUAAGUGAAUACAUAGCUUAAGGAGGGGAACUCAGGGAACUGAAACAUCUAAGUACCUGAAGGAAGAGAAAGAAAUUCGAUUCCGUAAGUAGCGGCGAGCGAACGCGGAUUAGCCCAAACCAAUAAAGUUUUCUUU
rnacentral:rRNA from 1 species